CGUGUAGGCGGCUUGGUAAGCGGAGUGUGAAAGCCCGGGGCUCAACCCCGGAACUGCAUUCCGAACUGCCGAGCUAGAGGACAGGAGGGGGAUCUGGAACUCUAGGUGGAGCGGUGAAAUGCGUAGAUAUCUAGAGGAACGCCGGUGGCGAAAGCGAGAUCCUGGCCUGUCCCUGACGCUGAGGCGCGAAAGCGUGGGUAGCAAACAGGAUUAGAUACCCUGGUAGUCC
rnacentral:rRNA from 1 species